AAAAAAGGUACUGUUUAAAGAUCAGAAAACUAUAAUCAAUAUAAAUUUCAUGAUGCUGGUUACCUCUGGGGGAAAGGCGAAGCUAUGAUUGGGAAGGGACAAAAAGAGGUUCUAAGGCACUGGUUGUGUUCUAUGUCUUAACUUGGGUGGUAUUUUUAAACAAUGCACAUUUUAAAAUAUGUAUUCUUUUGUACAUAUGCUCCAUUUCACAAUAAAGAAUAUCUUUAAAAAAGUAGGAGUAAAGCGUAGUCCUGUUCUAGCUGGCAGGAAAUCUAUGUAUAUAAAAACAAAAACCAAACGUGAAUGUAACAAGUGUCAAAGCAAAAAUAGGAACAGUGGGUGCUCAGGAAUUCACAGCAGGAAGGGCACUAUCCAGCUUCAAUGGGAGCAGAGGUGCUAAGAUAGUGGGAUGUGACUUCAAGCUUAUACAGCAGAUGUGAUCUGGGUAGCUGAUGAUAAUGUAGGGAAUUCCAGACAGGCAAUGGCAGGUAUCAGGUGAGCACCUGUGUGCUAGACCAGGUAUCCUCUGUUAGAGCCAGAGAGGAGGCUUUGAGUAGGGAAAGAAAAGUAAAAUGGGACAGAACCUCAGGUACUGGGCUCAAGUGUUAGAUUUCAGUAGAUUUAUAUUACAGGCAACCAAGAUAUUUGAGCAUGAUAUACCGUUCAAAAUAAUACAAACUCGUGUAACCUUUCCUAUCCCCUAAAGUUUAUUAAAAAAAAAAAAAGUUAGGAACUGGUUAAAAAGCUAUCAUCAGAGUUUACUAUAUUUGGAGACCAAAUUCUUUAAGGACAUGAUGGGGAAUAAUAAUAUUUCUACAAGGUAAAUUUUACUAAUGUGAUAAUUGAGGCUGUGAGAGACUGAAGUGAGAUGCCCAAGGUCACACAACUAAGUGGCAGAGAUGGGGUUUGACAUGGUUUUACCUCUAAGGCAUGAGCACUUACCAUCCUACCAUGCUGCUGCUGCUCCAAAAAGCAUGCAAGAAAAAUACAGCCUAUUUGUAAAGCUCUUUCCUCUUAAGGUUAAUUGAUCAUUCCACGGUUUGUUUCUUCUGAUAAAUGAAGAGGAUAUUUGAUAUCCCCAAGCUUACUCUUUAUUUUAUACACGUAAGUAUAUGUAACACACACAACACUCUUGCUCUAUUUAAUCCUUAAAAGGAUAAAAAUCAUAAUGCCCAAAUUUGUGCACAGAUAAAGCUAUCGAUUAAAUAACAACUAUUAUGCAUAUGGCACUAUGCUCAGUGUGUGGCCCCAAAAGGCUUUUGUUCAAACAGUAAGAUGGGUCAUCUGCAUAAAAAUAAGCAAGGUGACAAGUUGGGGCUAUCAGGGCAGUACUGACAUUAAGGGCUACUGAAAUUCCAAAGUAAUGAAUGCAGGUGGGAUUUUCAGAGGUGGUUUUGUGCAGGAAGUGGGGGCAGGGACAAUGCAUGGGAAAGAGUCAGAUGACUGCCUUCAACAAAUGUUCUAAUGAGGAUGGGGGAACCCACCACAGAGAUCUGACACCUGUGUUGCAGAGUGGAGGGAAGGCACUGCCCCAUCCUAGCAAUACAAACCCAUAAGCCUAAAACCGAAACAGAGUACAUAAGAAUGAGAUAUUCCUUCCACCUCCUCGGACGCCCACCCCUCCUGACUCAACUUCCCGGCCUGGAGCCACAGCACCUACUUAGAUCCUCUUGUAUUAAACUGUUUGAUCCUCUUGUUUUAACUGCUAAGCUUCCGCCCAUGAUUUGCCUAGACUUAAUAUAAAUGUCAUACAUAGUCAUAACAUGAUAGUAAUACUAAUUAAAAUAAGUUAAAACAUGAAUAUAGUGUAAACUAUUCUUUUCUAACCUGCUCUCUUGACAGUUUACUAAUGACUAAGCAGUAGUAAUAAUAAGAGCUCAUAAUAAGAAUAUAAAGUAUUCAUAUGUCGCAGGCAUUGGUUAGUGUUUGCUUGGUUUACUCAGUUAAUCUCCAAAAUGACAAUGUGAGGAAACCAAGGCAUGAAGAAGUUAAAUAACUUCUCCAGGAUCCCAUGGCUGGUGAGUGACAAGGCUGGGAUUCCAUCCAGGCAGUCUGGCUGCAGAGCCAAGGCUCUUAGCCAUGACUAGGCUGCUAUUGUAAGACAUUCCCAGAAUUAUAAGGGUAUUGUCUGAGAGUGACGUUUGUUAAUUUAUGGAUUAACUCCUGCCUAUGGACAAUUAAUUUGAAAGUGAAAAAGGUAUGCCUAAGAAUCCUGGCAAUCCCCCAAGUAUAGUUAAGGUCCCAGCAACAGAAAGUAACCAAUAGGAAAGCAUAUUAUGAAGUAAGCAACUUAGCAUUCAAGAAGACUGAAGAAAGACUUUUCAGAAGGAUGCAGUUUGCAACAGAGGUUAAGGAAAAAAUGGAAUAACAACAAGAAAUGGGUGGUGCUUAAGAUCAGCAGGUGACCCACAAGUAGACUGUGCUGGACAUUGUCUAAGGGCCUCCCCAGCUCCUGUCUCUGGAUUUGGGUGUCAGAGCUCAUG
rnacentral:lncRNA from 10 species